rnacentral:rRNA from 1 species
AUACGAGUGGUCCAAGCGUUAUCCGGAAUUAUUGGGCGUAAAGGGUGCGAAGAUGGAAUUGUUAGUCGGGUGUUUAACCCGCAGGCUCAACCUGUGGAUUGCAUUCGAAACGUCAAUUCUUGAGGUUGUUAGAGGUUAGCGGAACUAAUAGUGUAGGGGUGAAAUCCGUUGAUAUUAUUGGGAACACCAAAAGCGAAGGCAGCUAACUAGAACACACCUGACAUUAUAGCACGAAAGCGUGGGUAGC